UACGUAGGGUGCGAGCGUUAAUCGGAAUUACUGGGCGUAAAGCGUGCGCAGGCGGUUCUCCAAGUCCGUUGUGAAAGCCCCGGGCUCAACCUGGGAAUGGCAGUGGAAACUAGGGGACUGGAAUCUGGCAGAGGGGGGUGGAAUGCCGCGUGUAGCAGUGAAAUGCGUAGAGAUCCGGAGGAACACCAGCGGCGAAGGCGGCAUCCUGGACUGGUCCUGACACUCAUGAGCGAAAGCGUGGGGAGCGAUCCUG
rnacentral:rRNA from 1 species